AGCGAACGCUGGCGGCAGGCUUAACACAUGCAAGUCGAGCGGGCGUAGCAAUACGUCAGCGGCAGACGGGUGAGUAACGCGUGGGAACGUACCUUUUGGUUCGGAACAACACAGGGAAACUUGUGCUAAUACCGGAUAAGCCCUUACGGGGAAAGAUUUAUCGCCGAAAGAUCGGCCCGCGUCUGAUUAGCUAGUUGGUGAGGUAACGGCUCACCAAGGCGACGAUCAGUAGCUGGUCUGAGAGGAUGAUCAGCCACAUUGGGACUGAGACACGGCCCAAACUCCUACGGGAGGCAGCAGUGGGGAAUAUUGGACAAUGGGGGCAACCCUGAUCCAGCCAUGCCGCGUGAGUGAUGAAGGCACUAGGGUUGUAAAGCUCUUUUGUGCGGGAAGAUAAUGACGGUACCGAAAGAAUAAGCCCCGGCUAACUUCGUG
rnacentral:rRNA from 1 species